GACGAACGCUGGCGGCGUGCUUAACACAUGCAAGUCGAACGAAGAGCGAUGGAAGCUUGCUUCUAUCAAUCUUAGUGGCGAACGGGUGAGUAACGCGUAAUCAACCUGCCCUUCAGAGGGGGACAACAGUUGGAAACGACUGCUAAUACCGCAUACGAUCUAACCUUGGCAUCGAGGAUGGAUGAAAGGUGGCCUCUAUGUAUAAGCUAUCACUGAAGGAGGGGAUUGCGUCUGAUUAGCUAGUUGGAGGGGUAACGGCCCACCAAGGCGAUGAUCAGUAGCCGGUCUGAGAGGAUGAACGGCCACAUUGGGACUGAGACACGGCCCAGACUCCUACGGGAGGCAGCAGUGGGGAAUCUUCCGCAAUGGACGAAAGUCUGACGGAGCAACGCCGCGUGAGUGAUGACGGCCUUCGGGUUGUAAAGCUCUGUUAAUCGGGACGAAAGGCCUUCUUGCGAAUAGUAGAAGGA
rnacentral:rRNA from 1 species